AAAUCUUUUAAAUAAAUAUUCUGAAACAUUGUAAUAUGGGCCUUUGGAAGUAGUUUCGAUAGCUGCAAAGUGUCGGUGCUAGAUGGCUUACAGUCGCUUCAGUACUGAGUGAACAUACAUAUCACAAACGUCACUGGCAGUAGGUGAA